rnacentral:tRNA from 1 species
GUCAGGAUGGGCGAAGCGGUCUAAGGCGCUGCGUUCAGGUCGCAGUCUCCCCUGGAAGCGUGGGUUCAAAUCCCAUUUCUGACA